rnacentral:piRNA from 1 species
UACGCCUUUUUAAAAUCUCUGCCAAUUA